rnacentral:rRNA from 2 species
AUAACAAUACCGGGCGCAUUAGUGUCUGGUAAUUGGAAUGAGUCUAAUCUAAAUCCCUUAACGAGGAUCCAUUGGAGGGAAAGUCUAGUGCAGCAGCCGCGUUAAUUAUAGCUCCAA